rnacentral:tRNA from 1 species
AAGAGAGGUCUGGGACACAAAGAACUGCUAAUUCUUUCCACCUUGGUUCAAAUCCAUGGCUCACUUA